GACGAACGCUGGCGGCGUGCUUAACACAUGCAAGUCGAACGGAAAGGCCCUGCUUUUGUGGGGUGCUCGAGUGGCGAACGGGUGAGUAACACGUGAGUAACCUGCCCUUGACUUUGGGAUAACUUCAGGAAACUGGGGCUAAUACCGGAUAGGAGCUCCUGCUGCACGGUGGGGGUUGGAAAGUUUCGGCGGUUGGGGAUGGACUCGCGGCUUAUCAGCUUGUUGGUGGGGUAGUGGCUUACCAAGGCUUUGACGGGUAGCCGGCCUGAGAGGGUGACCGGCCACAUUGGGACUGCGGUACGGCCCAGACUCCUACGGGACGCAGCAGUGGGGAAUAUUGCACAAUGGGCGGAAGCCUGAUGCAGCAACGCCGCGUGCGGGAUGACGGCCUUCGGGUUGUAAACCGCUUUCGCCUGUGACGAAGCGUGAGUGACGGUAAUGGGUAAAGAAGCACCGGCUAACUACGUG
rnacentral:rRNA from 1 species